UCCAUCAGCAGUGAGGGGAGCUUGGGGCAUUGGAAGAAGGGAAUGCUGCAGCCAGACUCAUGUUUUAGAAAGAUCACACAGGAAGGCUGCUUCCCUAGAGGUGGAUCUACAGCCAGCUUCAGGCAGCUGAUGUCAUGGAGCUGGCACCAGGAUCACCCCAGUGUCUGGGGACGUGGAUGCUCUAUCCUGCCCAUGCUCAAGUGUGGAGCCAGCACUGGACAUUUUGAUGUCGCCAUUCUGACUUCGCUAUUGUGACCCAGCUACUUGGAAGCCACAAAUAUCUUGCUGUGCUUUGGAAGGUGCUGCUGAGCAAAGGAAAUCCCGGGAGCCAAUCUAGAAAACCCGAUCCAUCUUCCUAGGAGAAGAAGCCGGGGGACCUGGGAUUCUGCGCGCUCCAGCGUGCUCGGUGAGUGGCUUUGCAGCAGUCCCUCCUCUACCUGGUGCCCUGAUGGCUACUCAGUCCUCUCCACGCAACUGAUGGCGGAAGGACCGAUGUGAGAAAGACACAUUUACUUCACUACAGUCGUGUACCACAGAGUGACAUCUCAGUCAGCAGUGGUGAUCCCAUAAGAACAUAAGAGAGCCGGGCAGUGGUGGCGCACGCCUUUAAUCCCAGCACUCGGGAGGCAGAGCCAGGCGGAUCUCUGUGAGUUCGAGGCCAGCCUGGACUACCAAGUGAGUUCCAGGAAAGGCGCAAAGCUACACAGAGACCCUGUCUCGAAAAACCAA